rnacentral:lncRNA from 1 species
GGAAUGUAUAAAUACUGCUCCUGGCCUGCAAUAAACUGCUCCUACUCCUGCUGUAUCACGUCACACAGCUUAUCUAAUUAACAUAAACUAGAUACAUCAGUCAACCAAUCAGGAAUCUCCACACUUAAUGGCUCGCUUUUGUUACUUCUCAAACCACUCCCUCUGGCAUUUUGCCAGGCACCAUCCAGACUUGUUUAGGAACUCUAACAUUCCCCUGGCAAAAUGCCAGGUGUUAUUUUGACUUGUUUACAGACUCUAACAUUACGGUAACCUCGCUGGCUUCUGGGUCUCUAAGAAGUUUGGGGAGUUUGUUUUAGAUCAGCGGUUUUUAGCCUCUCGGAAUUAUCUUCCCCACCCCAUUGUCAUCCUAGAGACCACGGCAAGGUGUGUAAUGAGCCCUUCCCCAUCAUCAACAAAGCUCUCUUGGCUUGGAGGUUCACCUGUUCUCUAAAUUUGAGUGUUUUCUUGCUCUAAAGUUUACCCUAACUUUUCCAAGCAGAAUGAUGCAUAAACAAAGCACUUUUGAAAUAAUCUUUAUAAUUCAUUUAACCUUUACAGUUAAGCUUUCACAUGUUGUCCCCACAUCCUUGCUAACGUGAAUCAGUUCAUGUUCAGAGUGUAGAUAAAUAUACAGAAAACACCUAUCAACUGUUCAUUGUAAUUAUUUCAAAAUGAAAGAAAUCAACAAUAGUCUAACAGUAAAGGAGGCAUUUAGGUAAAGACAUAGUCACUUCAUGAAAAACUAUGCAUCUAAUAAAAAUAUCAGGUUCUCAUGGCUACAUGGAAAAGCUCACAACAAUAAAAAGGGGAAAAAAGCAAGAAACUUGGGGUUAUGCUAAUUACAAGAAAAAGCCUACAUAUGCUCAAACAUUGAAAAAAUUUAAAUGAUGUUUUUCUACUGACACAGUUUCUGUUACUAAACUUUAAUAAGUUUUAAAAUUAUCAUCUCGAAAAUAGAACAAUAGCUGAAAUAGUUUUGGAAAUUGUUGACACUAGAAGUGAACCCACCAGGCCACCCCAUUAGCUUAGAUGGAAUAUGGAAGCCCCAAGAACUCUACAAAUCUCUAACAGGACUCUCCCUCUGCUAGAACUUCAACCUCAGAACCAUAGGUUUGGGACUAUCAGGACUCAUUUCACACUGCCCUUAAUUGGUAUCCAUGUUAUCCCAAGAAACCCAGGUCUCCCAGUUCAUCUUCCAUCUCUAAUCUCCAUGCAGUUCUGUAUAUCCCCCUUCUUUAUACAAAGUCCCUGGUUGUCCAUGGAGGUUAUUGCUUCCCUUGGCAGCCCUCUUAAAUGACAACUACCUUUACACACAUACCACUCACCCCCCAGAUCUGGAUUCAGGGUAGGUGACUUCGUUGCUUCUGGGUGCCACUCAAACCUUCUCUUCCACCCCCUUAAUGUCUUUCAUCUCUUCAUGAAGACUAACGCUGGCAUCCUGCUUCCCCCAGGUGUUAGCUGCUAGCACUGUCCAUACCAAUUUCUCAUAGGCGUGACCCUUUAUAGCCUCACCUUUUGGUUUAUUGACUUCUAUCAAAUGAUCUCGCUUUCUACUUUAUCUCAGCCACACCUACAGCCAUCCAAUUUUAGAACCGGCCAUAACCCCAAACUCCAACUCCUUAGUCAUUCUAAGUAGCUACCUUUUCAGUUCACUUCCUUUGUUAUGGCAAUUCUUAAGAUCCCUGAACUCCACCAACACAGAAUUCUAUGAUUCUUAACACAGUUUCACUGCCCCUUUAUGUUUACUUCCCUCCUUGCCCAGUUUAAAUUCCAGCACUCCCUUGCUUCUCUUUCCUAUACAUUGGGCUAAACCACCAUCCUGCUUUAAUCCCAACCCUUGAUGGCACUUGUGAGCUCAGUGAGGCUAGAGCAAAACUCAACCAUGCUGACGGGUUCACUCUCCAGUCCAUGCUCCCUAAUCUCAAGUGGUUCAUAGACUCAGACAACCUGGAAAUCAGUCCGUGGUUCCCUGGUUCAUUUAGUCUCUGAUUCUCUUUCGUGAGCUAUUUGAUAACUUAAGACCUUCAGGACCUCCCCCUUCCUUAUUACUUUCAGCUGAAAUCCUUGUUAUUAACAGAACCCAUCAGGAGAAAGGUCCACAGGUUCACACACACUCAGCAACCUUGGUGUCCCAUCAUGCCUUCCCACCUGGUGGACUUCAG